AAUGAACGUUGGCGGCGUGGAUUAGGCAUGCAAGUCGAGCGAGAACCCGCAAGGGGGACAGCGGCAAACGGGGUAGUAAUGUGUCGGAACGUGCCCUCUGGACGGGGAUAGCGGCGGGAAACUGCCGGUAAUACCCGAUGAACUCGAGAGAGCAAAGGUGUGAUUCCGCCGGAGGAGCGGCCGACAUGGUAUUAGCUAGUUGGCGGGUAACGGCCCACCAAGGCUGUGAUGCCUAGGGGAUGUGAGAGCAUGAUCCCCACCAUUGGGACUGAGACACUGCCCAGACACCUACGGGUGGCUGCAGUCGAGAAUCUUCGUCAAUGGGCGAAAGCCUGAACGAGCGACGCCGCGUGCGGGAUGAAGGCCCUUGGGUUGUAAACCGCUGUCGAGGGGGAUGAAGGCUUGAAGGUACUCCUUCAAGUUUGACAGAGCCCAGAAGGAAGCACGGGCUAAGUUCGUGCCAGCAGCCGCGGUAAU
rnacentral:rRNA from 1 species